UCAGCGUUCUUACGGAAAAUGGACACACUAAGGAUGAUCUCAAGCUCCCUACAGAUGAAUCUAGGGGUGGGCGUUCGGGUACCCGUUCGGGUUCGGAUCGGGUAUUUCGGAUUUUCGGGUAUUUCGGUAUAGAGGUGUAGGACCCGUUUGGGUAUUUCUAUACUUCGGGUCGGGUUCGGGUAUUUUUAGUUCGGUUUCGGUUAUUUCGGAUCGGGUUCGGAUAUUUAGAUUUUGAAAAAAAAUUAAAUUUUUCAUUUCUUAAAUUUCUUGUAUUUAAGAAUAUAAAUUUUACUUAACUUUUUUUUAUUUUUAAUAGAUUAAAUGGUUAAUAGAUUUGGACAUAACAUUUUAAAACUAAAAAUGCAUUAAUUUAGUUAUUGUUUUAAAAUUUUGGAUGUAACUUUUUGUUAAUUUUUGAAAUAAAAAACUUGACAUGCUUUUUAAGUGAGUACCAAAUCAUUUUUUCCGUAAUUGCAUGUAUAUCAUAUGAACUUAAAGUAUGUGUAGUAUUAAUAUAAAUAUUUUAUAUAAAAUAAGAGAUGUAAACUAGAAAUAUAAGGUUAAUUAUACAUAUGUUCGGUUAUCUUCGGAUAUCCAUUCGGGUUCGGAUAUUAUCCAUUCGGGUUCGGGUAUCCAAUCUCUCCUAAUUCAAUACCCGUUCGGGUAUUUUGCUACUUCGGUUCGGAUUUCGGUUCGGGUUUUUCGGAUCGGGUUCGGGUGCCACUUCGGAUAUCGGGUAAAGUGCCCACCCCUAGAUGAAUCUCUACUCACACAAAUUAAUCUCUAAAUAUCGUUCUUGAUUGCUCCCAAAGUCUCAGAUCUGUGAUACUCUAUUGUAAUCCAUUGAAGGAGACAUGAUGGAUUAACUGAUGACGAAAUUACCAAAAGAACUCUAGAGGAAGAUGAAAUUAUCAAUGCUUUUUUGAUGUAUCCUUUGGAAAUACCAAUAUUUGGGCUACAUUUUCC
rnacentral:lncRNA from 1 species